GAAAUGCGAUAAGUAGUGUGAAUUGCAGAAUUCAGUGAAUCAUCGAAUCUUUGAACGCACAUUGCGCCCCUUGGUUUUCCAUGGGGCAUGCCUGUUCGAGCGUCAUUUGUACCCUCAAGCUCUGCUUGGUGUUGGGUGUUUGUCCCCGUCUCCGCGCGUGGACUCGCCCCAAAGUGAUUGGCAGCCGGCGUACUGGUCCCGGAGCGCAGCACAUGUCGCGCAAACGAGUGCCUUGGUACGGCGGCGUCCAUAAGCCCCUCUCUCACGCUCUUGACCUCGGAUCAGGUAGGGAUACCCGCUGAACUUAAGC
rnacentral:misc_RNA from 1 species